UACGAAGGGGGCUAGCGUUGCUCGGAAUCACUGGGCGUAAAGCGCACGUAGGCGGCUUCUUAAGUCAGGGGUGAAAUCCUGGAGCUCAACUCCAGAACUGCCUUUGAUACUGGCGAUCUUGAGUCCGGAAGAGGUGAGUGGAACUCCUAGUGUAGAGGUGGAAUUCGUAGAUAUUAGGAAGAACACCAGUGGCGAAGGCGGCUCACUGGUCCGGUACUGACGCUGAGGUGCGAAAGCGUGGGGAGCAAACAGG
rnacentral:rRNA from 1 species